UCGGAUUGUAGCCUGNAACCCGGCUACAUGAAGCUGGAAUCGCUAGUAAUCGCAGAUCAGAAUGCUGCGGUGAAUACGUUCCCGGGUCUUGUACACACCGCCCGUCACACCAUGGGAGCCGGGAAUGCCCGAAGUCGGUGACCCAACCGUAAGGAGGGAGCCGCCGAAGGCAGGCCUGGUAACUGGGGUGAAGUCGUAACAAGGUACC
rnacentral:rRNA from 1 species